GCUUUUAAAGGAAAAUAGUCAAUCCGUUGGUCUUAGGAGCCAAAGCCCCUUGGUGCAAAGCCAUGUAAAAGCC
rnacentral:tRNA from 1 species